AAAAAUUCACCGCCUACUUUGCCAAAGGGGAUAAAAUUCUUGCUGUAGCAACCAUGGGACCUGGGAAUGCCGCCGCAAAGGCAGCCGACGAAAUGUUUGAGGGGAAAAUGCGUUCUGCAUCAGAGAUCAGGGCUGGUCUUUAAAGACACGAAGACGUCCGCGCAAUGUCAGAGACAAAAGUUGAAGUUGACUAGCAAAUAUCACUCGACGAUUUUAAAAACAAUAACUUUUAGCUACAUAAAAAAAAUAAUGCACUCCUCUCUUAGUGAUUUGGUUUUUUUAAAUUACUUGUAAAAUCAUGCGACCUUCUAUGUACAUACUACUACGGACAGGUGAUAGCUGUAAUCGUAUUUUCUAUUUGGGAUUAUAAAAUGUUAAGAGAAAUGCGCGCGCUGUGAUUGGUCAG